rnacentral:lncRNA from 1 species
CUACACCCCAACCCAAUUGCUUCCUACACCACAACAUAACAAGACCAAGCCCAACUCUUGUUUCAUUCAUCAUUCAUCAUUCAUUCAUCAACAACACAGUUAUCACCAUUCAUCAUUCAUCAACAACAACACGAAACAACAACAUGAAAUCAUCAUCAUCAUCAUCAUCAUCAUCGCAGAAACCAUCGCCAUCAUAACCGUCACCAUUCAUCGCCAUCACUAUCACCGUUCAUUGCCAUCACCGAUUUCAUCAACAUCGCCGGGAACCAAACCACAACAUCAUUCAUCAUCAUCAUAACCGUCACCGUUCAUCGCCAUCACCGAUUUCAUCAACAUCGCCGGGAACCAAACCAUAACAUCAUCACGGGUAUCAUCAUCAUCACCAUUCUUCCUUAAGUUUCUUCCUCAAAUGAUGAAAACAAAACAGGUUCGAGCUUAUUGUACUUAAUUUCUUCCUCAAAUUUCUUGUGCUUUCAAGUAAUUGCAAUUAGUUUUGAAAGUGUAACCCUAAUUGACAGUUUAAUUUGUGUUAGUUGGAAAUGGUUUUGUUGUUGAGUUUGGAAAGUAAUUGCAUUUGUGUAACCCUAUUUGAUAGUUUAAUUUUGAAUUGGAGAAAAUCAACUCAAAAAAAUAGUUUAAAAAUUGUAUAUGUUAGUUGGAAAUGGUUUCAGAGUGUUGAUUUGGUUCACUGCAUGUGUGGAAUAGUUUCAGAGAGUUGUACUCCAAAACCAUUAGAUGUACUUAAUAGUUUUUAUGUUAAGUGUG